rnacentral:rRNA from 1 species
GCAACUUGGAGAAGUAGGAAGUUUUAUAAUUAAUAGGAAUUCGCUAUUUAUAUAAAAUUAAUUUAGAAUUGAAUAAAGCUUUGUUUAUAUAUUGAUAAUGACGAUAUAUUUAUCGUGUCUUGACCAAUUACGUGCCAGCAGUCGCGGUAAUACGUAAGAGACUAGUGUUAUUCAUCUUAAUUAGGUUUAAAGGGUACUCAAACGGUCAAUAUAUCAUUUAGAUUGUUAGUACUUGACUAGAGUUUUAUGUAAGAGGGCAGUACUUGAGGAGUAGAGAUUAAAUUCCGUGAUACCAAAGGGACUCGGUAAAGGCGCAGGCAGCCCUCUAUGUACAAACUGACGUUGAAGGACGAAGGCACAGAGAACAAAAAGGAUUAGAGACCCAAGUAGUCUUUGCAGUAAAUGAUGAAUGCCAUAGGUCAGAAAGAUAUAUUGUAUAUCAGUAAUUUUUGGUCUAUAAAUGAAAAUGUAAGCAUUUCACCUCAAGAGUAACGUGGCAACGCAGGAACUGAAAUCACUAGACCG